rnacentral:rRNA from 1 species
CCUACGGGAGGCUGCAGUGGGGAAUAUUGGACAAUGGGGGCAACCUUGAUCCAGCCAUGCCGCGUGUGUGAAGAAGGCCCUCGGGUUGUAAAGCACUUUCAGUGAGGAAGAACGCCUGGUGGUUAAUACCCAUCAGGAAAGACAUCACUCACAGAAGAAGCACCGGCUAACUCCGUGCCAGCAGCCGCGGUAAUACGGAGGGUGCGAGCGUUAAUCGGAAUUACUGGGCGUAAAGCGCGCGUAGGUGGCUUGAUAAGCCGGUUGUGAAAGCCCCGGGCUCAACCUGGGAACGGCAUCCGGAACUGUCAAGCUAGAGUGCAGGAGAGGAAGGUAGAAUUCCCGGUGUAGCGGUGAAAUGCGUAGAGAUCGGGAGGAAUACCAGUGGCGAAGGCGGCCUUCUGGACUGACACUGACACUGAGGUGCGAAAGCGUGGGUAGCAAACAGGAUUAGAUACCCGAGUAGUC